UACGUAGGGGGCAAGCGUUGUCCGGAUUUAUUGGGCGUAAAGAGCGUGUAGGCGGCCAGACAGGUCCGUUGUGAAAACUGGAGGCUUAACCUUCAGACGUCGAUGGAAACCGUCUGGCUAGAGUCCGGGAAGAGGAGAGUGGAAUUCCUGGUGUAGCGGUGAAAUGCGCAGAUAUCAGGAAGAACACCCGUGGCUAAGGCGGCUCUCUAGUACGGUACUGACGCUGAGGAGCGAAAGCGUGGGUAGCAAACAGG
rnacentral:rRNA from 1 species